rnacentral:rRNA from 1 species
GCAGUCGACGAAGCCCUCUCCCGAAGAUUGACACAGCUUGCUGUAGAUUGAUUCAUUUGAGGUGACUGAGUGGCGGACGGGUGAGUAACGCGUGGGUAACCUGCCUCAUAGAGGGGGACAACAGUUGGAAACGACUGCUAAUACCGCAUAGUAAGAAAGAUUCGCAUGUUUCUUUCUUGAAAGAUUUAUCGCUAUGAGAUGGACCCGCGUCUGAUUAGCUAGUUGGUAAGGUAACGGCUUACCAAGGCGACGAUCAGUAGCCGGCUUGAGAGAGUGAACGGCCACAUUGGGACUGAGACACGGCCCAAACUCCUACGGGAGGCAGCAGUGGGGAAUAUUGCACAAUGGGGGAAACCCUGAUGCAGCGACGCCGCGUGAGUGAAGAAGUAUUUCGGUAUGUAAAGCUCUAUCAGCAGGGAAGAUAAUGACGGUACCUGACUAAGAAACCCCGGCUAACUACGUGCCAGCAGCCGCGGUAAUACGUAGGGGGCAAGCGUUAUCCGGAUUUACUGGAUGUAA